rnacentral:lncRNA from 1 species
GUGGGUCCGUUGGGGGUUAGAGGUGUUUGAAUUUCCUAACUCGGUUAUUCCGUACUUUCUUCUCUUUCCCUCCGUUUUUGUCUUGAGAUAAUUUGUCUCACAAUUUCUCGGUGAUUUGGUGAUUACCAAAGAGUAUAUGAUAGAUGACUAGAUUAAAAACAGACUUUUUUUUUUUUUUUUUUUUUUUGGUGUUGUCUAACUUCUUUCCCUUAGCUGAGAGCUGGUCUGCAGGGGUAAUCGGUGCGUACUUUUUGAUGUAGAAAAACGACCUGUUUCUCCACCCUGCAUAAAACUUCCUUCUCUCACUCUCUGGUCCUUUCUCAGAAGGGAAGGACCCUUACGAGGGGCGAUUGCUGUGCUUCUGGUAGCCGGGAGAGGGUCCUGGUGUCCAGAGAACAGAACCACAGUUUCGGCAACCUCUGCUAAGGCAGACACGGAUGUAUUUGAUCCUCGCAGGGACCGCAGUUUGACCCACAGGAGACACACACACGCUCCUCCUGGUAAGGUGGUUUGGAUCCUGCUCCUUGUAAAAAUCAUCCUGGCCCUGUGAUUCUAGAGGGAAAGUCACCGCCUCCCCCGGGGUCAAGCCCGCAUCCUGGGGACGAGUGGCACUAUCCUCACCAA